UUCCAAAGUGUUGAGUUCAAUUCAAGGCAGCUUUCUUGUUCUGUUAAUUAAAACUUCGAGACAUUGAAGCACAGGCUAGGGGAGAUGGUUGAAUAGAAAGCAUUGCUCUAUUCCAAGUUCCAGCCAAGACUG